GUGUCAGCAGCCGCGGUAAGACGGAGGGUGCAAGCGUUGUUCGGAAUUACUAGGCGUAAAGAGCGUGUAGGUGGUUAGCUAAGUCGGAUGUGAAAAUUCCGAGCUCAACUCGGAACCUGCAUUCGAAACUGGUUAACUUGAGUGUGGGAGAGGAGAGUGGAAUUCCUAGUGUAGCGGUGAAAUGCGUAGAUAUUAGGAAGAACACCAGUGGCGAAGGCGACUCUCUGGCCUAAAACUGACACUGAGACGCGAAAGCGUGGGGAGCGAACAGGAUUAGAUACCCUGGUAGUCCACGCUGUAAACGAUGGGCAUUAGGUGUAGGAGGUAUCCAAUCCUUCUGUGCCGAAGCUAACGCAUUAAAUGCCCCGCCUGGGGAGUACGGUCGCAAGGCUGAAACUCAAAUGAAUUGACGGGG
rnacentral:rRNA from 1 species